AGACCGGAGAUGUUAAUGCAUUUACUACUCUGCUGAGUCGUCAAGGACUGUUGAGUCACUUUCUGCAAACUAUAUGUGGUGUGGUGAAUACACCAAUACAGGAGGCUGGCGUCAACUUUGCAGAAAUUUUGGUUACAGUGGACAAAGUUGUGGGAGGAGCCAUUACUGGAGCACUUCAACUUGUUAGUGGGGUUGUUAGUAACCUAGCUGGUCUUUUAAGUGGUCUUCUUGGUACUGUUGGUGGUGUAGUUAAUGGUGUUCUCGAUAGUGUGAUUGGUGAGAAGGGUCUUCUAGGUGGUGUGGUUGGUGGUGGUGGUCUUCUCGGUGGGGUUCUUGGUGGUGGUAAUGGUGGUGGUCUUCUCGGUGGUGUGCUUGGUGGUGGUAAUGGUGGUGGUCUUCUCGGUGGUGGUAAUGGUGGUGGUCUUCUCGGUGGUUUGCUUGGUGGUGGUGGUGGUGGUAAUAGUGGAAAAAAAGGAGCUCUUGGUGGCUUACUUGGAUAAUACUAACAGUCACCUCAUUACCCCAUGCUCGCAGGACAAGAAAGUGACACAUUCUACAUUUCUUCAUAUUCAUUUUCUUCUCAAUUAUUCUUGUCUCAAUUUUACAUUUACUGUAUCACUUACUUGAUAAUAAAUAGGAAGCAUUA